rnacentral:rRNA from 1 species
UACAGAGGGGGCAAGCGUUAUUCGGAAUUAUUGGGCGUAAAGGGCGCGUAGGCGGCCUGGCAAGUGACGGGUGAAAGCCCUCGGCUCAACCGAGGAACUGCCUGUCAUACUGCCGGGCUUGAGUCCGGGAGAGGUGAGUGGAAUUCCCAGUGUAGCGGUGAAAUGCGUAGAUAUCAGGAAGAACACCCGUGGCGAAAGCGGCUCUCUGGAACGGUACUGACGCUGAGACGCGAAAGCGUGGGGAGCGAACAGG